rnacentral:rRNA from 1 species
GGGUACGGGGUGUUAGGGCACGACACCGGAGAGGGAGCCUGAGAAACGGCUACCACAUCCAAGGGUGGCAGCAGGCGCGCAAAUUACCCAAUCCCGACACGGGGAGGUAGUGACAAUAAAUAACAAUACGGGGUUCUUUAGGAUCUCGUAAUUGGAAUGAGUACAAUUUAAAUCUCUUAACGAGGAACAAUUGGAGGGCAAGUCUGGUGCCAGCAGCCGCGGUAAUUCCAGCUCCAAUAGCGUAUAUUAAAGUUGUUGCAGUUAAAAAGCUCGUAGUUGAAUUUCGGGGUUAGUAGGUUGGUCAUGCCUCUGGUAUGUACUGGUCUCACUGAUUCCUCCUUCCUGAUGAACCUUAAUGCCAUUAAUUUGGUGUUUUGGGGAAUUUGGACUGUUACUUUGAAAAAAUUAGAGUGUUUAAAGCAAGCUAACGCUUGAAUACAUUAGCAUGGAAUAAUGAAAUAGGACGUUCGAUCCUAUUUUGUUGGUCUCUAGGAUUGACGUAAUGAUUAAUAGGGAUAGUUGGGGGCAUUAGUAUUCAAUUGUCAGAGGUGAAAUUCUUGGAUUUAUUGAAGACUAACUACUGCGAAAGCAUUUGCGCAAGGAUGUUUUCAUUAAUCAAGAACGAAAGUUAGGGGAUCGAAGACGAUCAGAUACCGUCGUAGUCUUAACCAUAAACUAUGCCGACUAGGGAUCGGAUGAUGUUAAUUUUUUAAUGACUCAUUCGGCGCCUUACGGAAC